rnacentral:rRNA from 1 species
CCUACGGGAGGCAGCAGUGGGGAAUAUUGGGCAAUGGGCGCAAGCCUGACCCAGCAACGCCGCGUGAAGGAAGAAGGCUUUCGGGUUGUAAACUUCUUUUAAGAGGGAAGAGCAGAAGACGGUACCUCUUGAAUAAGCCACGGCUAACUACGUGCCAGGAGCCGCGGUAAUACGGAGGUGACAAGCGUUGUCCGGAUUUACUGGGUGUAAAGGGCGUGCAGCCGGGAAGACAAGUCAGAUGCGAAAUCCCGCGGCUCAAACGCGGAACUGCAUUUGAAACUGUUGUUCUUGAGUACCGGAGAGGUCAUCGGAAUUCCGUGUGUAGCGGUGAAAUGCGUAGAUAUAAGGAAGAACACCAGUGGCGAAGGCGGAUGACUGGACGGCAACUGACGGUGAGGCGCAAAAGCGUGGGGAGCGAACAGGAUUAGAUACCCCUGUAGUC